UGCGACCCCAGGUCAGGCGGGAUUACCCGCUGAGUUUAA
rnacentral:rRNA from 7 species